rnacentral:snRNA from 1 species
CUGCUUGUUUGGGCAGCACAUAGACUAAAAUUGGAAUAAUACAGAGAAGAUUAGCAUGGCCCCUGUGCAAGGAUGACAUACAAAUUUGUGAAGCGUUCCAUAUUUUU